rnacentral:rRNA from 1 species
CCUACGGGUGGCAGCAGUGGGGGAUAUUGCACAAUGGGGGAAACCCUGAUGCAGCGACGCUGCGUGGGCGAAGACGUAUUUCGGUAUGUAAAGCCCUAUCAGCAGGGAAGAAGAACUGACGGUACCUGAGUCAUAAGCACCGGCUAAAUACGUGCCAUCAGCCGCGGGAAUACGUAUGGUGCAAGCGUUAUCCGGAUUUACUGGGUGUAAAGGGAGCGCAGGCGGUACGGCAAGCCUGGUGUGAAAGCCCGCGGCCCAACCGCGGGACUGCAUUGGGAACUACCGGGCUGGAGUGCCGGAGAGGUAGGCGGAAUGCCUGGUGUAGCGGUGAAAUGCGUAGAUAUUAGGAGGAACACCAGUGGCGAAGGCGGCUUGCUGGACGGUGACUGACGUUGAGGCUCGAAAGCGUGGGGAGCAAACAGGAUUAGAUACCCCAGUAGUC